rnacentral:lncRNA from 1 species
CAUAUUAAAAGACAACAACAACAAAAAAGAUCUUUAUCUACAGUUUUUAAAUUCUGGCAACAUGGCAAGAAAGCAUGGCUUUACAGAAGCGAAUGUGUCAAAUAUUCUAAGUGCCUGCGAGAUGAAGUGCACAGUCACAGAAAGCAGUCACUGGCAAAGGAAUGUCAGCCACUUACCAAUGAGACGCCAGACUCCCCUGUCCUUCCUCUGCGACUCUCAAUUCCCCUCUCCCAUCCUCCUGCCCGUCGGCACAGUUCAGAGAGAGCAGUUCCUUGGGUCCUUCUCAGCCUGUGGCAGAAGAGAAUUGCGGAGUUCUUAAUCAUUCAGAGGGAAUCCUCCAGCUUGCCCUGCGUCUCUCGGAAGAGGGGACCCAGUAUCAAAGAGAAGAUAUGCAGGGGGAGGUCCCAUUCAGCAUUCAAGUCUGCACAGUUUACACUUAUUGGUGUAGAAACAUGGGACCAAUGGUCCAGCAUCAACCUUUUCUUCUGGAAACGACCUUUCUCUGCCCAUACUCUAAUAACUCUGGAUGAAGUCAGCAUAUUCUUACAACCCCACCCCUUGACCUCCAGUUGAAGAAGGUGAGUCAAAGAUGAGCACUUGAAAAGUAAGUUCAAUGAGUCCCUCCCACGGAUUUCUGGUCUUGUGACUAAAAGAGUUUGUCUCUCUCCACCAACUGAACCUGCAAUAUACAGAACACAGGAGUUAUGCUUGCCAUGUUGUAGGAAAAGGUAUCCUACAGGCAGAGGGUAGGGAAUCUAGCACAGACAGUGGAAAUAAGAGACACACUCAAAACACUCAAUUAGCGAGCCCCAGUUGGCCCUAAGGCUCAGGUGCACACAUCUCUUUAGCAGA